rnacentral:lncRNA from 1 species
GUUUUAAACCCUAAACUGAACUCUUUUCCUUUAGUCAGUAUUACGGUUUUAAACCCUAAACUGAACUCUUUCCUUUAGUCAUCAUUAGGGUUUUAAACCCUAAACUGAACAUUUUUCCUUUAGUCAGCAUUAGGGUUUUAAACCCUAAACUGAACUUUUCCAUUCAGUCAGCAUUAGGGUUUUAAACCCUAAACUGAACUUUUCCUUUAGUCAGCAUUAGAGUUUUAAACCCUAAAUUGAACUUUUCCAUUAGUCAGCAUUAGGGUUUUAAACCCUAAACUGAACUUUUCCAUUCAGCUAGCAUUAGGGUUUUAAACCCUAAACUGAACUUUUCCUUUAGUCAGCAUUAGGGUUUUAAACCAUAAACUGAACUUUUCCAUUUAGUCAGCAUUAGGGCCCCAACCCUAAACUGAACUUUUCCCCAGUUGGUCAGCAUUAG